rnacentral:rRNA from 1 species
UGGACCCUCGAAUUCUGCGCGUCGGGAGGUUCAGUCGGGUCGGCGCGCGGCGGGCGGACCGCGCGGGAGAGGCGACGGCCCCUCGGGGCCGCCGUCCCCGCGCCCCGCCCGCGUCCGCGCCACCGACGCAUUUCUUCCCGCGCCGAGGACGCCGCGGCCGGUCGGGCACGAACGAGAGUCCUCCGAGAGGGCGGAGACCAGAGAGGGCUUGGCCUCGGGGGAGACCCCGACGGGCCUCGCCUCCUCCGCCCGGGCGGACGCCCGACCGAGGCGCAAGGAGGGGCCCGUUCCGGCGGGCCCCGCCGUCCCCUUCGAACGCGAGAAGCGGGUGCCUUGAGCAAGCACGCGUCGGCGAGGGCGCCCCACCGCCUCGCGCGGUGCGCGCCCCGCCCGGCGCAGCGGACGUCCGAGAGACGCCCGCGGGGGAUCGAAGGACGGCGCGCGGCGAGUAGGUCGGUCACCCACCCGUCCCGUCUUGAAACACGGACCAAGGAGUCUGACGCGUGCGCGAGUCGACGGGACUUGGACAGGCCCGGAGGCGGAGCGAAAGCGAGCGCCGGACCGCCGCCCGCGGCGGUCCGCGCGAGGUCGAGAUUCCGCGCCCGGAGGAGGCGCGGACGCAUCGACGGCCCGUCCCCCCGACCCGUCGGAGGGGCGGAGUCCGAGCGCACCCGUCGGUACCCGAAAGACGGCGAACUAUGCCUGGCCAGGACGAAUGCAGUGGAAACUCUGCUGGAAGUCCGCAGCGGUUCUGACGUGCAAAUCGAUUGUCGGAGCUGCGUAUAGG